AGUGUCCUGCCUGUCCUUCGUCCCUGAGAAGGGGACAGUUGGUGCCAGUGGAGAUCUGCCCCCCCCCCCCCCCUCUCUCAUUUGACUCUGGGAGAAGGCAAGAUAUGGUCACCCAAGUGUAGAUGAGCCAACGCCACAUACGUAAGCCACAUCACUGUAAGAUGGCGCCGAAGAAGAAGGCAGACUUUCGCAUGCCCCCAGCCAAUUCCCGAUGCGAAGGAUGUACUGCUUCCUUGGGAACAGGCCCAGAUCCCCGUUAUCUGUGUGAAAAGGAGGCAGAGAUAGAGGGGCCGAAGGGCUGGCUGCCUUCUGAGAAUUUAUAGAGUCAUGGCUGAACGACGACAAUAUCAACAUACAGCUGGCUGGUUAUACGAUGUACCGACUGGAUAGAACAGCGGUGUCUGAACAGGGGCAGUGGCACAAGAGGAAUCAAAGAAACACAAGACUUGCUGGCCAUCGCCAGGCAGGCGGACAUCGCUGCUACCACCCUGGAAGUGCUCAAGGGGACCUCUAAGGCCUUCGACAGCGGUGAGCAGGGAGGGUUAGGGUUAAAUCUAGAGUUAUGGUUACAGUUAGCCCUGCUGAGAUGCUAAAUCGGAACAGUGAGUGACUACUACGGUUGAAUAUUUUCCAUGUAUUUUACAAAUGUUCCAUCCCGAGAAUAGAUCACUCUUCUCCUGGGUAACCCAGAAUUUCCUGCCAAACCAGAAAUGUCAUUCCAAAGCAUAUAAAUAGACCUAUGUCUGGAUUUGAUUAGAGCUUUGAUCGGACAUUCAAGCCUGAUGCUACCUGAGCCUGAUGCAUUAAAUACAUUUUAUGAGCCCUACAUUAAAGACAUUUUAUGAGCACAAGCCCAAAACAGCACAAACUGUGACUGUGCUUUUAUCCAAUACAUACUGUGUGUUAUAUACUAGCAUUUUAGGCUACUGCACAUUACCCACGAUAGAAAAACAUAAAAGCCCAUAGAUUUAGCAAGCUCUAUGCUCUCUUGGGUAAAUAAAUGAAACUAGCUCCAGUAGGCUAAUCUUUUUGAGUGUGAACUGUAUUACUGUAAUGUAUUCUAUUAUACUGUAUUAUAUGAAUUGGAACUAUGCACCUUGUACAAACCAUGAUCAAGCUGAGAGAACAUGUGAUUCUGGUGCAGCACAUGCGGCCUACAAAGCUACAAGUUUAAGCUAGCAAAUUACAUUUGAAUUUGAAAUAGGGCCUAUUUGUAUAAUUAAUGUUAUUAGCCUGCCUCCUUUCUCUCUCUAUUGUUGCUCAAUUCCUUCCUCGCUUUCAACAGUUAAAUUAAAUAUGUUUUGUUGUCCUUAUCUUGAUCAUUCUAAUGACAUGCGUAAAUAAAAUAUGACUAGAAUGAGAUGCAGACAGCUUUCACUUCUCUUCACGAAGAUUGAAUGGGUCUGAAUAAAUAACUGCUAUAGCCUA